GUAGGUGGCAAGCGUUGUCCGGAAUUAUUGAGCGUAAAGCGCGCGCAGGCGGUCCUUUAAGUCUGAUGUGAAAGCCCACGGCUCAACCGUGGAGGGUCAUUGGAAACUGGGGGACUUGAGUACAGAAGAGGAAAGCGGAAUUCCAAGUGUAGCGGUGAAAAGCGUAGAGAUUUGGAGGAACACCAGUGGCGAAGGCGGCUUUCUGGUCUGUAACUGACGCUGAGGCGCGAAAGCGUGGGGAGCAAACAGGAUUAGAUACCCUGGUAGUCCACGCCGUAAACGAUGAGUGCUAAGUGUUAGGGGGUUUCCCGCCCCCUUAGUGCUGCAGCUAACGCAUUAAGCACUCCGCCUGGGGAGUACGGCCGCAAGGCUG
rnacentral:rRNA from 1 species